UGUUGCUUCGAUACAUAUGAUUCACCAUACAAAAAAAAAGCUGAUAGUACCAGCUGCAGCUCUCUAUGUUUUGUACAGUUUACGAAUGCAAUUUGCGCGCAGUUGUGAAAUUCAGACUGAUUUAAUAACUAUUUUCUAUAUAAUUGAACCAGAUAAAAGGUGUGAUAGGAAAAGUGAAUCCCCUCCUCUCCUACAUGUAGAACGAGAGAGGGAGAGUUAUUUCUGGCUCGCAAGAGAGUCAAUUCGAAGAUGGCAUAAUACAACUAUUGAAGGUAUGGACAACUCAGGCUGGCAACAACUUAGGCCACCGAGGAGUGGGAUGGCAGUACCCUAUAUAUUAAUCAGAGAACGGCAUUGGGUGAUUGGAAAAACGUUUACAAAUAAAAAAACACCUGAAUAAACUCGCUCAGCUUUGACGCAAGUCAUGCGCUUAUAGU